rnacentral:rRNA from 1 species
UACGUAGGGCGCAAGCGUUGUCCGGAAUUAUUGGGCGUAAAGAGCUCGUAGGCGGCCUGUUGCGUCCGCUGUGAAAUCCCGGGGCUCAACCCCGGGCCUGCAGUGGAUACGGGCUGGCUAGAGGCAGGCAGGGGAGAACGGAAUUCCUGGUGUAGUGGUGAAAUGCGCAGAUAUCAGGAGGAACACCGGUGGCGAAGGCGGUUCUCUGGGCCUGUACUGACGCUGAGGAGCGAAAGCGUGGGGAGCAAACAGG